rnacentral:rRNA from 1 species
CCUACGGGUGGCAGCAGUGGGGAAUAUUGGGCAAUGGACGCAAGUCUGACCCAGCAACGCCGCGUGAAGGAAGAAGGCUUUCGGGUUGUAAACUUCUUUUAAGGGGGAAGCGCAGAAGACGGUACCCCUUGAAUAAGCCACGGCUAACUAAGUGCCAGCAGCCGAGGCAAUACGUAGGUGGACCGCGUUGUCCGGAUUUGAUGGGUGUAAAGGGCUUGCAGCCGGGUAGACAAGUCAGAUGUGAAAUUCACGGGCUCAACCCGUGAACUGCAUUUGAAACUGUUACCCUUGAGUGUCGGAGAGGUAAGCGGAAUGCCUUGUGUAGCGAUGAAAUGCGUAGAUAUAAGGAAGAACACCGGUGGCGAAGGCGGAUUACUGGAGGAUAACUGACGGUGAGGCGCGAAAGCGUGGGGAGCAAACAGGAUUAGAUACCCUGGUAGUC